UGGUUUUUUACAUGAUCGUUUACAAAUACCGUACAAACAAACACCCCUCUUCCCCUGCGCUGGUCCACAAUGCAGAGUCUUGUGAAUUGACGUGUAUUUAUUAGCUUUUUGGUCGUUUUUUUACCAACCAAAUGUUGUCAAAGUGGAAAUGUGCGGAGGGCUGACCGAGGUGAAGCAGGCUGAUGAAGAAGUUCAGAACAUCUGUGAUGCAAGCAGAAAACUGGGAGAAACUUCGAGGUUUUCACUGCAAAGAGCUACAAAACACAGCUCGUAGCUGGGACCAACUACUUCAUUAAGGUGCUUUUAUUGUGAAAGGGGCCGGAGAGGAAAAGAAACGAGGGAGAAGGCAGCAGCCACGAGAGAUGGGAGGAGAGAAAAGCGUGCGCGAGAUGCGGCUAGCGUCUGCAGAGACUUUUUCCCAUGGACGAUAAGGAUAAAUCAUCCCACGUCGACGGCUGAGUAACAGAGCGUGACUGUGAGGUGGUGCAGCCCGGACUGGUUUGCACUGUUGCCUCGGAAUCACCUAAUUAGCGGCGUGCUAACUUGGCUAACCGGAGUUAGCCCUCAAGGCGGACUUCGCUAACGAUCACCGGACCUGUACAGAGCGAGAGGCUACUAACUGCAGAGGCUGACCGAUCAGGUUUGCUGCUGGCAAGGAGUAAGUGUGCAGCUGCAUGGACUAGGGACGGACCUCUCGGCUUGCUGUGAGUUUGUGGAAAGAGACUAAGAGUUCCAGGUAGGAGCACCAUUUUGUUUUCUUUUAGGACCGUUGGUUCCUACGCACACAAGCAUCGAUCCAGGCCUGCACCGAGGGGACUUGGGAAAUUGGGGUGUGAGAGUGUGUGUGUGUGUGUGGGGCCCAUUACGGUAACGAACUGUUUAACUGUUGUUAUUGUUAUAUUUUAUCAUUGCAAGAGACUGUUUACUUUAAUGAUUUAUUGGGUGUUUAUCAAGUCAUUCAGUAAACCUGCUUGGUUUAAACAGAAGAUUGUGUGUCUGGUACUGUUUCUUAUCUAUAGUUCAGAGUAAGGUAAAAGUGUAUCUGUGGGUUAUAUGUGUGUAAAUCAGGGGAGCUUGCACUGAGGGCAACUAAGUAAGUUCAAGGUAACUAGAACUCAGGGCGUACCCGGCUAUAGUGGAGUACACAGUCUGGGGCGCUACAUUUGUAAUGCAAGCAGGGAGCACAGUGGCAACACUACAAAGCUCUGAGGUCUUGCAUAUAAUAAAAUAUCAUCAAUAAGAGCAUUGAUUGAUAAUGUGAUCUGUUAGGUGAAAACUAAAGCAAUGAUCAGUGGGGGGUUUUUUCAGUUACUACCGCUACACUUAUGUGAAGGUAUGUGCAAACCUUUAACUGUUAUUGAUUUUCUAGCAUCACAGCUGAGGCUUUCAAUCAUUGUUUCCACACAAAUUUUGCUUUAAUUUGUUUAAAUUUUGAGACAAGUCCACAAAAGAAAAUGAAAAAUAUGUGUGCCUCACACUCCUGGUGUUAAGGCACAAAACGAGCAGUAUCGGUUUUUCCAGGUCAUGUGAAUGGUCGCUUGUAACACACAACUAGCACUAGGGCUUAAAUAAAGAAGCAUAAGCACAUAUUUACUUCAUAAACUCUGUCAGCCAUCAACAGAGCUCAACAAAUGUUCUGUUUGUGAACACUACAACAAUCAGGCACUUUGUAUAUGAAGAUGUGGAUUCUCCUUUUCCACAUGUUUGCAUGUCAUUUGGUUAGUGUGGCUUACAUUACCAUAGGUGUGUUAAAAUGAUCAGGAGUACUUCUAUGUGCACAUUAAGCAUCUCCUUUAAUUUUCCUUGUACUUCCUUGCAGGUCUAUGUGGGAGGAGACGAUUAUGUUCACCUCCGUGUUUACGAGAAACUCCCGUGUGAUGGAGGAACGCUCGAGCUGACCGAUCUGCAGCACCCCAAGAGUCAACAUGACAGUAUUGAGUACUUCUAAUGGGAAAAUGAACCAGCCAAAGCAUCAGUGCCUACACCCUGUACUCUCAUUGUAAUCCAUUAAUAACUUGCCUCUUCAUGAGGGGAAACCUUCCUUGUUUACAUAUAAUAACCAACUGCAGAUAAUAGAAGACAAAGUGGACCAGUUAAAUACGAGGUGGGUAAAAAAAAUAAAGCAGAUUAUUUUUCUGCUGUGGUUUGAAUAGUCCUUUCAUGUUUUUUUGGAAGACCCAUUUCUGGAAAGUUUUACAAAAAUUAAAAACUCUACAAUUAAAAACAUUUGCAGACUUUGCAUAUUAAUGCAGUUCAGGUCUGAUUACUUAUCAAAGAGGAGUGAAACGAGUGUGACUGUGUAUGUGGGACCCAUAUGUGAACAGAGUGUAUUUAAAGUGUAAUUUAUGUCGCAUAGCUGUGUAAACUUGGUCAGUUUCGGAUGAUGUAACAGAAUUAAUCAUGAAGGUCUGAUAACCUGAUUUAGAGUUCUUUAAUAUCAUUUCAAGUAUAUUUCAGUAUAUUUCACUUGCUAAGGUAUUUGUGACCAGAUUUGAAUUAAAAGAUGUGCAUCUAAACCAAGAUUCCCACAUUCUGAUAGCAUUGGCUUUGAGAAUAUGGGUUAGACCUCCUUCCUAGACCUCAUAUGGUUAAAACACUUUCUUAAGCUGUGUCCCAAUUCAUCCUUCGGAGGCCACAUUUGAAGGCCGAUUACGUCACAGCAACGCAACGAAGGCUGUCCCAAUUCGAAGGUAUCCUUCAUUUCCCCAGAUUUGAAGGGUGGGCCAGGUGUAUUCUUCAUGGCCCAACAUAUCCCAGGAUUCAUAGUGCGGGCCAACCAAUUCAGUUUGUAACGAUGGCAUCAGCAAAGGAGACUGUGGAAAUGGCGGCGGAGGACACCUACAUUUUCAAAUGUACGUUAUUUUUGAAGAUGAAAAAGUUAAUGGAAGAAAUCUUAAGGUGAAUUUUGUGACACUCGUUAAACUUACAUGACUGCAAAUGCACAGUCUUGCUGUUUUUUAGCAUAAGGGUCACUUUCAAUAUUGCUCUUUCUGGGUCACAAAAUAAACUUUGAAGAUAUUUCCAGGCGAGAAUGUAGCUGUGUGCACUUCAAAUACCUGCUUUAUUUAUCAAGACAUCACAUAUUUGCAAAAGUGCUCUCACUAGUCAUGUUAAACAUGAUAUAUAAGUCACUUAAAUAACCUGAAAAAGUUAUUGUUUGGCUUUUGUCAGUGCUUUAUUUGUUCCGGAGUAAAUCGUUUUGCCUGACAUUAAAUGUUGUAGUUUCCACACAGCUGAAUAUGCUGUACAAACGUCAAACAGAAAAGUGAAUUUACUCCAAUGUCCUUUUAGGGACAACUCCGCCGAGACAACGAAUACCUCUCCACCGGUUGGAGGUACAGCAACAGUAUGCAGUUUUUAAUCUGUUAGACAUAAGGGAGAGUGAUUUUUCGGUCUUGUGGUCCUAAUUUACAAAAUUUUGCUGUGGAUGCUGUCCAGGGAUUAACAUGAUUGACAUGUUCUCUUAUAUUCUGUCUCUCAGGGAAAUUCUUGAGAAGAUGGGCCUGGUGGGGAAAAUCCCCCCUUCGCAGGCCCCCCAAAAAUGGGAAAAUUAAAAAAACAAAGUGUGUACAAUAGUAUUGCAAUAUGUAUUGUCAAGUAGAAUGUAUUGAAGGUAUUAAUGUAAAUCUGUACUGUAGAUGUUUUUGUCAACUGCCACUUUUGAUGUCCUCUGCCGCUAGGAUUGCAAGUAUCCAACGUCAGGUGAGGGAGUGAGUGGGAAGAGCACUGCUGCUACAUGGCCUUGGUUUGCCCUCAUGGAUGAGGUGUUAGGACAGAGGUCUUCUACCAGGCCUCUAGUCUACCCUAACCCUAGCCCUGGAGUGUCCUCCAUCCAGGAUGACACUCCAGGGCCCAGUUCAGCAGUGGGCAACCAAGUCCAAGCUCAGGAAGAGCAGGAGGACGAUGGCCAGCUGGAGCCAAGAGCGGACAAAAGAAAGAAGGACAGGGAUGAUGUAUUUUUUGAAUUAAUAAGAGAGGACAUGAGACUACAACGGGAAAUGGGGGAACGAAGAGCCGAGAGAAUGGACAGGCUGUUAGGUGUCCUGGAAAAACUAGUUGAAAAGCAAAAUGAUUAGAGUUCUGUGAAUAAAAGUCACUGUACAUAGUUCUACUUUAUUUAUAUUGUUUUGUUACAAAUUAUGUACUGCCUAAACAAAAUGAAUGAAGUUUGGAAAAUAAAAACAUUUGAAAUAUU